GAAAUGCGAUAAGUAAUGUGAAUUGCAGAAUUCAGUGAAUCAUCGAAUCUUUGAACGCACAUUGCGCCCCCUGGUAUUCCGGGGGGCAUGCCUGUUCGAGCGUCAUUUCACCACUCAAGCCUCGCUUGGUAUUGGGCAACGCGGUCCGCCGCGUGCCUCAAAUCGACCGGCUGGGUCUUCUGUCCCCUAAGCGUUGUGGAAACUAUUCGCUAGAGGGUGUUCGGGAGGCUACGCCGUAAAACAACCCCAUUUCUAAGGUUGACCUCGGAUCAGGUAGGGAUACCCGCUGAACUUAAGC
rnacentral:misc_RNA from 1 species